GCAAUGAAGGCUCAGGCAUAACAUAUUGCUUGAAAGUCUGAACAUUUCCCCUUUUUUUAUUUAACAAAAUUUAUAUACCACUUUAAUAAUUUAUAUACAAAUUAUUAGGAGAGUAAGUUAAAAAUAUACUGUAGUUUAUUCACUUAUAGGCUAGUUUACAUACUUUAUUCCUUCUUAUACUUCUAUCCCACCUUUCCUCCACAGAGCAUACACACUUCAGCCUCCACCUUCUCCAUUUUAUCCUGACAGCAAUAUUGUGAGCUAGGGCCAUAGCUCAGUGGUAGAACAACUGCUUAGCAUGCAGAAGGCAGCAGGUUCAGUCCCCAGCAUCUCCUGGUGGGACUGGGAGCGCUCCCUCUGCGCUUUGGAGGCUUCGCAUUGCUAUUGCUGAAGCCAUGGAGCCUGCAUUCGCUCCAUAGGACGCACACACAUUUCCCCUUAAUUUUGGAGGGGGGGGGAGUGUGUCCUAUAGAGCAAAAAAUACGGUAUGUUGUUGGGGUGGGGGCAGGACACCCACCUGUCCUGUUCCAGAACUGAGCUACCUGUGACGAGACUGGUCAGUUCACAGAAGCCUCACCUAUCGCUCAGUCGAGUUGCCAGUUGUGUCGCUAGAAUGCUUCGCGACAUCAUCCAACUGACCUCACAAAGCAUUUUAAUUUCAAAUAUUCUGAUUCUUUAUACUUUUACUUAAGUAUCUUCAUUUAUUUACUUGAUUUAGGGGAGGGGUUGCUGCCCCCACUGCCCCUCACUGGCUACAUCCAUGGAAAUGUUCUGAGGUGUUGUUGUUUGAUCUGGUUUUGUUGCAUUGUAGUACAAGAUUGCUGCUUCAGGCAGCACUAAUGUGACACCCUUAGGGAAGCAUUGCAGGACAACUUAUAAAGAGGAAUAAUGUGUGUGGACUGUCCAUCAAUGACAUAAUGCAGGAAACACCCACAGAAAACAUCUCCCAGUCUGGAGGACCCGAGAUUGUCUGGAGAAGUGAGGAAGAGGCAGCUAUAGUCUAAAGCUUUGCUUUUGGUUUUUGCAAGCUUUGUAGACUCACGCAGAUCAAAAAGCAGGCUUAAAAAAGCCUUAAGUAAAUGAAGAUGCUAACAAAUACUACCCAGAGUGAGACAGAUAUUCUUUCAAGCAUUCCCUAAUCUUUGCUGUUAUUUUGCUUCAAUUUUGGCACUGGGAUGGGCUCUACUCUGAGCCCCAUGUGACUGGCAAUUCUGAAAGGGCACUAGGGGAGCGGUUUCUGUAGAAACUGAUGUGUGAGGGUUAUCUAAAAAAAAUUUCUGAGCAUGUUUCUCUCCCAAUAAAUAAGUCUCUUCUUUUUCCAGCUGACUGCCUAGGGUGGUGAUAGCAGGGAAGGUGGAAAACAAAUGUGCAUUCAAAAGCCCUGAGCUGACGUUACAAAGUCUAUGAACAGGAAAUUUUAUAGCGAGGUAGGUAAGAAAACGUCUGAUUUUUGUUUUAUGGAAAAUACAUGGCUUGGUUGGAUAACUUGGUUGGAAAGACAGAGAAACAGAAAAACUGGGGCAUUUAAAAAGUUAUCAGUUAAGUGACAAGGAAGCAAUAAUAAUAAUAACAACUGAUAAUAUUUAUACCCCGCCCAUCUGGCUGGGUUUCCCCAGCCACUCUAGGUGGCUCCCAACAGAAUACUAAAAACUCGAUAAAGCAUCAAACAUUAAAAACUUCCCUAAACAGGGCCGCCUUCAGAUGUCUUCUAAAAGUUAGAUAGUUGUUUAUUACCUUGAUAUCUGAUGGGAGGGCAUUCCACAGGGCAGGUGCCACUACCCAGAAAGCCCUUUGCCUGGUUCCCUGUAACUUUGCUUCUUGCAGUGAGGGAACUGCCAGAAGGCUCUCGGCGCUGGACCUCAGCGUCCGGGCAGAACGAUGGUGGUGGAGACGCUCCUUCAGGUAUCCUGGACUGAGGCCGUUUAAGGCUUUAAAGGUCAGCACCAACACAAAAAUGCUCGGAAAUGUACUGGGAGCCAAUGUAGGGACCAAGGUGCAGUCAGUAAGGUACUGUAAUAAUAAUAGGGGUUGCUCGUGCGUAAGUUGCCGCCACUCCUGGCUAGGUUGCCUGGUUAAACCUUUUCUGUCUGGACAGCCCUUCACUUCGUGGCUGUUUCAGUUGCUAGCAGAAUCCUUCAGUGGGCUUUUCUUAAACCUUUUCCAGCAUAAAAGCUGUUUGACGCCAAGUCUCCUCCUACUCUCCCUGCGCGGAAGUCUUCUGCGCAGGGAGGGCGUGGGUAGCGGAGGACCCGUGCUCUCCCCGCUGGUCUCCGGCAAGGAGUCCUGGAGCCCCCUCGCCGAUUCCCCCAUCUGCCCCCCUUUAUCCCUGGUGUUACGCUGAUUUCCUUCCCCAGCUGAUGAGCUGCCUCUCUCCCUGCUGGGCCCUUCUCCAGCAUCACUUGGGAGCCUAGCCUCCGCCUCUGGCUCCGAUGUCAGUUCCCUGACAGGUACCAAGGGCCACAUUUGGCCCCUAGAAUGGAGGCUCCCCACCCAUGUCCUAGGUCAUUCCCACAACAUACAGUCAAAGCACAUUUAAAGCACAUUCUUCACACGGUCUCAAGAAUAAUCCUGGGAACUGCAGCCUACCCUUCACAGAGCUGUCAUCCCCAGCUCCCUUAACAGUUCCCAGGAAUCUUCAGGAGAAGCCAUGUGCUUUUAAUGCUUGGUGUGGAUGCGAUCCUAAGCUAAAAGAGAAAGGGAAGGUAGGAAUCUGGGCUGUGUUUUAGAGGUCAUACUGAAUUCAGUGUGUCUGGAUGGUGCAUGUGCACAUAAGUGCCAACCUGAAAAUGGGGGACUACAUAGGAGCUGAAACUGACAAGCCUUGGUGCAGGCAAAAUGGGCAGGAGUUCCAUGUCAUUUUGACUUCAGCUGUAGUGCAGGCUCAAGGCAGUGUCGGUGUGUUUGCGUGUGUGUCUGUGUGUGACACUGACAGGCAGCCUACUCACAUUUUUCUCUUGGACUAAAACGGUUUUGCAUGCAAGUUCCCUCUCUGAUGCCCAAUCUCUGGGUUGCAAAAUGGGGUGGCUCUGGAGGGAAUGGGAAGGUGCAUGGCUUUCUCAGCAUCAGUGAGGGCACAGAUACUGUCCAGCAAGUAACAGUUUUGAGGUAACAUCGGCAUUGAGAAAGGGCGAAUCAUUAAUGGUAUUAAGCCUGGGAGCAAGGAAGCCUUCCAGAUAUAGGGGCAGGAAAGCUGGAAAGACACAAACAGCUCUCCUGUAUUUUUAGCUGCUGUUGGUGUAGAGAACCCUCUUCAAAAUGACUUUCUUGGGGCCACAUUCCAAUGAUGGGGCUGCAGAGGCAAAAGUGGUUAGAACAACAGAGGCGACUCUUAAGUUUGCAACACAGAAGUUGGAGGUUUCUACACUCAUCCUCUGUCAUGUACACCUCUCUCCCUCCUCCAUCCAGGCAAGUGAGAGGCAUCAUCACUGCUCAAGAGUUGCUUCCAGGUGGUCCUUUUGCUGAGCAUCCAACCAACCUGAUUUGUUUGCACAAAAGUUUGCAGCCAGGUUAGACAACAUUGCAUCAAGCAAUCGUCAUCAUCCCACAUUUUCCAGUGCAUUUUCCUGCCACUUUUCCGAACAACCUGAAUUUGCUGGAAUGUGAUUGAAUCCCAGUCUGGAAACACCCAAGGACACAUCUGAAUCAGGCAAAAGCCUUGGGGAGAGUCCCAUGGGCUAGACAGGAAGGUCUUCAGCCCACAAACUGGGCUAUUAUUUGUGGAAAGCUGCCAUAUUGGGACCAGGAGCAUGACACACAUUAAAGGUAGGUAAUAUGUUCCCUUCUUCCAUCUCCGUGGAGCCCUGUCUAAUUUGCCUGCCAUUGAUGACCAACAUACAGUCAAACAGAGCAAAAACUAUUAGGAAAAUUGAAAGCUGCCUUAUACUAAGUCAGAUCAUUCAGCUAUCUAGCUCAGUAUUGUCCACACUGACUGACAAGGAGGGGAGAGUUUUCCCUGUGGGAAACGGAGAUACAGGACACAGUGUCUGUCUGCUGCCCAAUGUACUAAAGUAGUGCAACUGCUAAUGCAAAAUUCAGUAUUUAAAUUAACAGCCUUUCCUCUUUGGUCGCCAGGUGUGAUUUGGCUGUGUACUGAAAACUAUGUCGUCGUCCCCCACUCUUAUCCCCUUAUGUGCUGCCCAGAGUGGCUAGGAAAACCCAACCAGAUGGGCAGGGUAUUUUUUAUUAUUAGUAUUAGUAUUAUUCAGACUGGGAUCCCUUUCAUCCCUACCUGGAAAUGCUGGGGAAUGAACCAAGGACCUUCUAUCACUGAGCUAAGAUCCUUCCCUAAAAGAUGCCAGGAGAGGUCAUUUCCUCUCCUUGAACUAUGACUAGGCUCAACCAGGCUGCAAACAUGGAGUAGCUGAGCACACUCAGGGCCAAAAAAGAUUUUGUGCCUGCUCCUUUCACUUUAAAUGAGCAUCGCAGACCCUUUGGUUUCAUUUGGCAUUCUGUGGGAGAGGAAAGGCAGGCAGCCUAGCUAAUUACAUAAGAGGUCGGGUUUUGAUUGGAGGUUUUAUUUUUAGGCAAAUGUAAUUGGCGGUAUGUGAGUUGGGGGGAAUAAUCAGAAAACUUGUUGGAUUGCCUGUGUGUGUGUGUGUAUGUGUGUAGGAGCUGGUUGUGGAUUUGUGAAAGGGGAGACAUACAUGCAUAUUUAUCAAACUCCCUUCCCUGGAAUAUUUCCAAAAAUAAUCAAGUUAUAUUAUCGGCACAUUGGGAAUAAAGCAUGCUAGCCUCCUGUGUGCAUGGAUUUUUAUUGGGGGGUUUUUUUGUGUGUGUUGUUUUUGUGAGUUGCCACAUGCUGCCUGAAGUCAUGAAACAGCCUUACCAUUGUUGGAAGGGCAACAGUAGGGAUCAUUCAAUUUGCAGUUUAAGGGUUAGUUCUGUUGGUGUUAAAGUCAACUAGCCCAGAGGGGGAUGGGUGGAGGUGUUGCUUAGCAACCAGGUAGACACCAGACAUGGUGUUUACUGAAGUAGCACAUGCUCUGAUUGGCUGUGAAGUUCUCAGGGAGUUUUUCUUCUGUACGUUUUGUUUAGGGUUGCCAUAUUUCAAAAAAGCCUCCCCGAAGUUGUUGAGCCUCCCCACAAAAUAUAGUGAUUUUAAGCUUUUGGAGCUGCUUAAAGUGCUUUUUCAAUCGCGUUGCCAUACAUCCAGGUUUUCUCUGAUAUUUUGCCAUUUCAGCAAAAAAAACAGAACAUACCAGGAAUUUUCCUGACAUAUGGCAAGCCUAGUUUUGUUGAAUGAGUUCCCGCUCUCAUGAGUGCUCAUCCCAUUGCAUGAGGCAAAAUGGAAAGUUGCUGCCUUGCCCCAUUGUGGCUGCAGCCUUUUGCCGAAGCCUCGCUUACUGGGGUUGUUCAGUGACUUCCAGCGAGAUCUCAUAGAACUCUCAUGAGAUCUCACUGGAAAAAGCCACCUUCACUGUGUGACCCUAGCAGCAGGGGCAGGGGCAAGUGGGGCAACCGCAGUGGCAGCAUCCCCCUGGAUUCUGCCACCCAAGGCAGCUGCUUCAGUCUGCCUCUGCCUGCUCUGUACAAGGCCUGAACUCAGAUGAUGCACUGUUUUUGUUUGGUUUCUGCAGUAAAACAUUAUGCCAUCAGGACUCCAUCUGCAUUGUUCAAGUGCAUUUGCUAACAAUCGUCACAUUUGGUGUGUAUGGGACUUGGUAUACAAGUGGGGUGGAAAACUUGUGUCUCUCCAGGUGUUUCUGGACUACAACUGCCAUCAUCCAUAGCCACUGGCCACACUGAGGCUGAUGGGAGCUGGAGUCCAAUAACUUCCCCAUCCCCCUUCUACACUCAUGGCAAAAUUAGGCCACAGCAUCCUUCCAGAUGUAUAGUGUACAUUUUUUUAAUGCUUUCCCGUGUAUAGAAGCUCAUGGAAAGCAGAAACAAAGCAAAAACAGGUGCAUAGAGAAGAAAAAGUUUUCCCUUUGCCGUUCCACUUUUCUUCAUUCAGAGAGUUGCUAGGGCAUCAUCCAGAGAUAUAAUCUCCCACCUAGGCCACAACAGACGUGAUGUGGGAAGCCUGUGAUUUGGUCUGCUGAUGGCUUCUUCUUUGCUUACCAAGGGUUGUGUGACAGGUUGGGAAAAACUGAAUCGCAGGGCUAUGACCGUCGGAUAUGAACCCCCCAUUCUGCACUAUCAUUUCCCUGACUGAAAUUAAUAAUCUUUUCACCAGGUUGAUUUUAGCACUGAGGGUUGUGGGGAGAGAAAGGUAUUUGUAGCUAAUAGCUCUCUCUCUCUCUCUCUCUCUCUCUCUCUCUCUCUCUCUCUGUGUGUGUGUGUGUGUGUGAGAGAGAGAGAGAGAGAGAGAGAAAUAUACAGUAUAUUGUUUAUGUGGGUGUGUGACAGACUCUGUGUGUGUGUGUGUGUGUGUGUGUGAGAGAGAGAGAGAGAGAGAGAGAGAGAUAUUUUGUGCUUGUGUGUGAGAAAUAUAUGUGCCUGUGAGAGGGUGUGUGAGGGGGGUAUAUUUGUGUUGCAAGAGAAAGAGAUUUGUAACAGAGUGUGUUUAUGUGUGAGAGAAGGAGAGUGUUCUGGAGAUAUAUAAUGUUUGUUUAUUAUAUACAGUGGUGCCCCGCAAGACGAAUGCCUCGCAAGACGGAAAAACCGCUAGACGAAAGGGUUUUCCGUUUUGAAGUUGCUUCGCAGGACGAAUUCCCCUAUGGGCUUGCUUCGCAAGACGAAAAUAUCUUGCGAGUCUUGAGAUUUUUUUCCGCUUCCCCCUUUAUCUAAUCUGCUAAGCCUUUAAUAGCCUUUAAUAGCCUUUUAGCAGCUAAUCCCUAAGCCUUUAAGGCUUUAAUAGCCGCUAAACCGCUAAUAGCGCUAAUAGCGCUAAUCCGUCAAUGGGCUUGCUUCGCAAGACGAAAAAACCGCUAGACGAAGACUCUCGCGGAACGGAUUAAUUUCGUCUUGCGAGGCACCACUGUACAUAUAAAUAUAUAGAUAGAUUUAGGGGGUCCCCCUUAAACCCUUGUUGUUGUUUAGUCAUUUAGUCGUGUCCGACUCUUCGUGACCCCAUGGACCAGAGCAUGCCAGGCACUUCUGUCCUCCACUGCUUCCCGCAGUUUGGACAGACUCAUGCUGGUAGCUUCGAGAAUACCAUCCAACCAUCUCAUCCUCUGUCGCCCCCUUCUCCUUGUGCCCUCCAUCUUUCCCAACAUCAGGGUCUUUUCCAGGGAGUCUUCUCUUCUCAUGAGGUGACCAAAGUGCUGGAGCUCGACUUCACGAUCUGUCCUUCCAGUGAGCACUUAGGGCUGAUUUCCUUAAGAAUGGAUAGGUUUGAUCUUCUUGCAGUCCAUGGGACUCUCAAGAGUCUCCUCCAGCACCAUAAUUCAAAAGCAUCAAUUCUUCGGCGAUCAGCCUUCUUUAUGGUCCAUCUCUCACUUCCAUACAUCACUACUGGGAAAACCAUAGCUUUUACUAUACGGACCUUUGUUGGCAAGGUGAUGUCUCUGCUUUUUAGGAUGCUGUCUAGGUUUGUCAUUGCUUUUCUCCCAAGAAGCAGGCGUCUUUUAAUUUUGUGACUGCUGUCACCAUCUUCAGUGAUCAUGGAGCCCAAGAAAGUAAAAUCUCUUACUGCCUCCAUUUUCCCCCCUUCUAUUUGCCAGGAGGUAAUGGGACCAGUGGCCAUGAUCUUCGUUUUUUUGAUGUUGAGCUUCAGACCAUAUUUUGCGCUCUCCUCUUUCACCCUCAAUAAAAGGUUCUUUAAUUCCUCCUCACUUUCUGCCAUCAAGGUUGUAUCAUCUGCAUAUCUGAGGUUGUUGAUAUUUCUUCCGGCUAUCUUAAUUCCGGCUUCGGAUUCAUCCAGCCCAGCCUUUUGCAUGAUGAAUUCUGCAUAUAAGUUAAAUAAGCAGGGAGACAAUAUACAGCCUGGUCGUACUCCUUUCCCAAUUUUUAACCAAUCAGUUGUUCCAUAUCCAGUUCUAACUGUAGCUUCUUGUCCCACAUAGAGAUUUCUCAGGAGACAGAUGAGGUGAUCAGGCACUCCCAUUUCUUUAAGAACUUGCCAUAGUUUGCUGUGGUCGACACAGUCAAAGGCUUUUGCAUAGUCAAUGAAGCAGAAGUAGAUGUCUUUCUGGAACUCUCUAGCUUUCUCCAUAAUCCAGCGCAUGUUUGCAAUUUGGUCUCUGGUUCCUCUGCCUCUUCUAAAUCCAGCUUGCACUUCUGGGAGUUCUGGGUCCACAUACUGCUUGAGCCUUCCUUGUAGAAUUUUAAGCAUAACCUUGCUAGCAUGUGAAAUGAGUGCAAUUGUGCGGUAGUUGGAGCAUUCUUUGGCACUGCCCUUCUUUGGGAUUGGGAUGUAGACUGAUCUCCUCCAAUCCUCUGGCCGCUGCUGAGUUUUCCAAACUUGCUGGCAUAUUGAGUGUAGCACCUUAACAGCAUCAUCUUUUAAAAUUUUAAAUAGUUCAGCUGGAAUACCAUCACUUCCACUGGCCUUGUUAUUUGCAGUGCUUUCUAAGGCCCAUUUGACUUCACUCUCCAGGAUGUCUGGCUCAAGGUCAGCAACCACACUACCUGGGGUGUACGAGACAUCCAUGUCUUUCUGGUAUAGUUCCUCUGUGUAUUCUUGCCACCUCUUCUUGAUGUCUUCUGCUUCUGUUAGGUCCUUACCACUUUUGUCCUUUAUUACGGUAAUCUUUGUACGAAAUGUUCCUUUCAUAUCUCCGAUUUUCUUGAACAGAUCUCUGGUUCUUCCCAUUCUGCUGUUUUCCUCUAUUUCUUUGCAUUGCUCGUUUAAGAAGGCUUUCUUGUCUCUCCUUGCUAUUUUUUGGAAAUCUGCAUUCAAUUUCCUGUAUCUUUCACUAUCUCCCUCGCAUUUUGCUUGCCUUCUUUCCCCCGCUAUUUGUAAGGCCUUGUUGGACAGCCACUUUGCUUUCUUGCAUUUCCUUUUCAUUGGGAGGUUUUCGUUGCUGCCUCCUCUAUAGUGUUACGAGACUCCAUCCAUAGUUCAGGCACUCUGUCCACCAAAUCUAAAUCCUUAAACCUGUUCCUCACUUCCACUGUGUAUUCAUAAGGGAUUUGACUUAGAUUGUAUCUUACCGGCCCAGUGGUUUUUCCUACUUUCUUCAGUUUAAGCUUGAAUUUUGCUAUAAGAAGCUGAUGAUCUGAGCCACAGUCAGCUCCAGGUCUUGUUUUUGCUGACUGUAUAGAGCUUCUCCAUCUUUGGCUGCAGAGAAUAUAAUCAAUCUGAUUUCGAUGUUGCCCAUCUGGUGAUGUCCAUGUGUAGAGUCGUCUCUUGUGUUGUUGGGAAAGCGUGUUUGUGAUGACCAGCUUGUUCUCUUGACAGAACUCUAUUAGCCUUUGCCCUGCUUCGUUUUGAUCUCCAAGGCCAAACUUGCCAGUUGUUCCUUUUAUCUCUUGAUUCCCUACUUUAGCAUUCCAAUCCCCUAUAAUGAGAAGAACAUCCUUCUUUGGUGUCACUUCUAUAAGGUCUUGUAAGUCUUCAUAGAAUUGGUCAAUUUCAGUUUCUUCAGCACCAGUAGUUGGUGCAUAAACUUGGAUUACUGUGAUGUUAAAAGGUCUGCCUUGGAUUCGUAUCGAGAUCAUUCUAUCAUUUUUGAGAUUGCAUCCCAGUACAGCUUUUGCCACUCUUUUGUUAACUAUGAGGGCCACUCCAUUUCUUUUACAGGUUUCUUGCCCACAGUAGUAGAUAUGAUAGUCAUCCGAACUGAAUUCUCCCAUUCCCGUCCAUUUUAGUUCACUGAUGCCCAGGAUGUCAAUAUUUAUUCUUGCCAUCUCAUUUUUGACCACAUCCAACUUACCCAGGUUCAUGGUUCUUACAUUCCAGGUUCCUAUGCAAUAUUUUUCUUUACAGCAUUGGACUUUCCUUUCGCUUCCAGGCAUAUCCACAACUGAGCGUCCUUUCGGCUUUGGCCCAGCCGCUUCAUCAGCUCUAAUUAAUAAAUUAAUAAAUCUAGGAUUUUGGUUAUUUGUGAUGUGAUAUGAAGGGAGAAUGCAAGCUGCAAAGGAAUUCCUUAUGCAAAACAACCUGGCUGAGCUAUGACUAUCAAAAGAACAAUUGAGGGACUUUAACAAUACAAGAGAACUCUUUCCCCCUUGCCCCAGGAUUUGGAAGGUUGCCAGAGUAACUGCUGGAGGGGAGCAGUGUUGCUGGGAUGAAGGGAGGAAGAUGAGCUCAGAUCCAUCCUGGGCAGGCUGGCUGAAGGCUGCCAGCACUGCUGUGGGGUACCAGCCCCUCUUGAAAGGACUAUGAUGUAAGAUCCGGUACAUUCUAUUGUCUCAGGAGGACUGUACCACUUUAUUCAGACCCUACAAGUAUCCCUAUUAUCUAAGGAUGUCCCUGAUUUAGAGAAGACAUCUCAAUUUCUGAUUUGAUCCCAGAAUGUCCUGCUUUUCCUUAGGAUGUCCCUAUUUUCAUUGGAGAAAUGUUGGAGGGUAUGAAGUUAUCCUACCCUCAAGCCGUCUGAAGGCAAUCCUGUAUAGGGAAGGGUUUUUUUAAUGCUAAAUGUUUAAUUAUGUUUUUAUAUAUGUUGGAAGCCACCCAGAAUGACUGGGGCAACCCAGAAAGAUGUGUCGGGUAUAAAUAGUAAAAUUAACAUUAUGGAAUGGGAUGUCUCUAUUUUCAUCAGAGAAAUGUUGGCAGGUAUGUUUCAUUCUGGUGCAUGUGCAGACUGAGCCUUAGAAUUGAACCUUCAGGGAGAGCAGGUGUUCAAAAAAGACUACUCUAAAUGGCAAUCAGUGAAGCAAAACAGGGGUUUGAGUAGAAGGCAAUGCAGUGAGGUUUCCUGGGGCAUUCCAUUUCCCAACAACAGCACAUGGAGAGGCAGGGCCUGACCCCAGAUGCUCCAAUGGCCCCCAUUUUCUGCUACUUGUUCCCAGAAAACCACUCUCCCUUGGUGGGUUGGUGAAAGGGCUGCCAUAUGUCCUGAUUUUCCAAGACAUGUCAUGGAAUUCACCUCCGAAAAUGGCAUCCUGGGUUAUUUUUCAGAAAUUGGGCAGAUGUCCUGGAAAACCAGCAAUGGGGGCUCCAUAACUCAAAAAUAGGCAGUGGUGCUUUUAAAAAGCAAUGCCAAUAUGAGAGGACUGGGUUUAUAUCUUUAUUGGUCAGUGGACACAUUUAGAAUUUUAAGAAAGCACUGUGGGUACCAGUCACAAAAUGGCUGCCAUGAGGUCAUUGCAUAACAUAGCAUGGCUGCUUUGGGGGCAUGGCAUACAGCACAAAAUGGCUGCCACAUUUAAAAGAACAAAGAAAGAGCCAGGACCAGAAAAUGGCACAGGCAUGCUCCUCACAUCGGCUCCCGCCAAUGCAAAUCUGCAAAUGUGUUUCUGGAGGUCUUGCUCUGUCUCUUGCACACGUUUUUCAUUUACUCUGCUUGUCGUCCACAAUUUAAAAGUCAACGAGUUGUUCUUUUGGUUUGAAGGUGUAUAUUUGGCGAAAUGCUGCCACAGCUCAAAAUGGAAAACAGAUGCUGAUGUUUGUGAAAUAGGCUGUGUAUUGCAUGGUGCCUCUUGCAUUCCUGCACUUGUAUGUACAUUGUUAAAUAGUGGGUAGACAUAGCAGACGACGCAGCGAUUUCUCCAAAGCAGCUUUUUAUUUGUAAGCUGGAACAGAACUGAACAGCAGACAGCUCAGCCGGCCUGCUUUUAUAGGCAGCCAGCUGUCAGCAUUGUAGCAACAACAAGCCAGGGUUUCCCGCCUAAAGUAACUGAUGUGGACCUGAGUGAAAACUACAUACACAAUACUCCUGGUGGCCAGGGUGAGAACUUCAAUACAUAACAUACCUCAUGGUUAGAAAUCCCCCCUCUCCCCCAAAAAAGAGCUCAUGUAUCAUCACUGCUGGUGUACAUCAGCAGUUAGGAACUGUUCCCUGCUCCCUGCAAGGGCUUCAUUUCCUUUGGAGAAAGUGGUGAGGGCUGCAUACCAGUGGUAGACAGGACCUUACCCAAAGUGGACAUGACCAAAACACAUACACACAGUCCCCCCACCCCCAAAAUCCACAGUGCCUGACAGACUGCUUUUCCUGUUCUGUUCUGUUUGGCUUGGCCCUGCCCCUCCUCAAUUAAACAUGCUCUCUUAAACAUCAUGGAGGUGUCAGAUCGAGACUUUUUGGAAGACAAUAGGGGUGUUAGAGGCUAGGAAGAGCAUUUCUAGGUGAUUAAAAAACAACAACCUCAGGGAACAUGCCCGUGGAACAAAUUUGUCUGGACAAAUUAAGAUGCAGAGACAUGCUGUGGUCCCAUACACACCCAUCUACCCCGUAAGCAAAGUUGUUAACAAAAUUAAAAAGUUUAAAACAAGGGGGGAAGGUGCAGAAGAUCUGCUGCCCAAUGCAAAAUGCCUUCGGCCUUGUGGGACACAACUAAAUCUCAUGGUGCCACAUGUAACUGAAUAUAACAUGGUUCUGAUGAAAUCCUGCUCCUGUUUUAUUUUUUAAUUCUACUAUAUUAUUUUUGCUCACUUUAACAAAUACAAUACAAAAAAUACAAUUGGGACAAUGGGACAACCAUGCAACGUCUGCUUGUUUACAAUUAGGGAGGAACAAAUUACCAAUUCUGGAUUUUCUCCGUUUCUCUUUUUCCCAAUACUAAGUUCCAUUCCCCACAUUCCCAUGUCAGUCUGCGAAUCCUCAGAAAAACCCAACAGCCUUGUGCAAAUUUCCUAACCUUCCCUCUGAUAUAAUGCAUUUUAACUCUACUAGUAUGUGAAUUUAUGUGCACGUUGCUGGGCUGGAGAACUGCAGUGCAAAAUUCAAAGAAGUGGAACAUUUGGAAGAUGGCUGUGUUUCAGUUCACAUUUUGUUUUGGGAAGUGUGAGAGUGUAGGAAAAAUAGUUUUGCUUUUAAAUGUGAACUGAAUCAUUUUUUUCCCUCCAUCCCCUACUUACAAGUCAUGGAAAACAGGAAGCUUAAUACUGAGUCAAACCAUUUGUCCAUCUCGUUCAAUAUUGUCUACAAUGACAGGGGUCUCCCCCAGCCUUACUUGGGGAUGGGCAGACUGAACCCAGAAUCUUAUGAAUGUAUGAUUGAUGUAAUACCUGCAAUCAUUGGCAGAAAGAGAGUUGGAUAUUUGGCAGUGAAACAGUGAGGAGGUGUACAACAAAGAAGCAUAAAGCAAAAUAUUUCUUGCUGACUCUGUGUGUGCUAAGAAUCUGUGCCCUUUUUCUAAGAAGUGAUCAGAAUAUUUGACAUCCUAUUUAGCUGCAGGGAAAUCUUAUCCAUUAUUAGGUUAUUCCAAUCCUUUACAAACUACCCUCUUAUUGGGAGGAAACAAGCAAUUUAGAAUAGAGCUUCUUCUGAUGGCUCUCCUUGUUUCUAUACACUUUUAAUUUUUGACGAGCUUCCUUGGUUAGACUUUGCUUAUUCCCCAUCUGAGUUACCAACCACCCCAAAUCCUAGAUGGCUCAGAACAUUUAUUUUUUUUAAAAAAAAAAGUUGCAAGAAGCAGUGCUGAUCCCUUAAUGGGGUAUUUUGAGACAAUCGAGGGAACAUAAUGAGCAAAACGAAAGAGGAGAAACAAACCCCUUUCGGCAAUGCAGCAGACCUCAGCCCACGCACUUCUCACAGACUGAGAGCAAGGGGGGGGGGAGAGAAUCUGGCUUGUUUUGCUAGCAUCAUAGUUUUAUUGCGAUCAUACAUUAAGCUCCUUUUUAUAAAUAGAGGUGAUAAAGGCCGGUGGGGAGGAGGGAUGUAAGUUUCUCACAACUUCACUGUGUUCAUACUGGAAAAGACCAGUGUCAAUUUUGCCUUUGAGCAUAUUAAUCUCCAUCCCCCCUUACUUGCACACAUGUACGUACUAACAAACACACUUAUUAGCAUAUUAUUCUCAGUUCUCCCUUACACACCCACACCCCAUGCCAUACAUUUAUGUGUUGUGAAUAAACAGGGUGGAAUCAGUACUCAGGUUUGGGGCGUGGAAGGGAAGAAAGUUUUAUGAAAUAGAUAUGCCCAAUACCUAUGACUUGAGGGGGGAGACUGUGACUUAAAGGGGUGCAGGAAAAGUGGGUGCCAUUCAGCCUGCCAACACCCCUUAAGAUACCUUCACGCUCCUAGGCACCUUAGAUAAUGCUGCCUCAUCACCAGUACUGAAGUAAGUCAUCCUCCAGUCUGGUCAAUUUUUAUACAGGAAUUUAGGAAGCUGCCUGUCAGAGGAUUGAUCUAGGACACCAAAAACAUCAUUUUUCCAUGACAAAGUGCUGCUAAAUUCCCCCAGAUGUCAAUUCUGCCUUUGAAAAUCCAGAUGUAUGGCAGCCCUAAUUGAUCCAUCUUGCUCAGUAUUGUCUAACUGGCAGGAGCUCUUUGGACAGAGGUCCCUCCCAGUCUUAUCUCAAGAUGCUGGGGACUGAACCUGGGACCUUCUGCGUACAAAGCAGAUGUCCUGCCACUGAGUUAUGGUUCUUUUAUCUGCUAAUAAAUUUGCGACUUCAUUACCUCUUUAUUUAUUUCUAGUGUUGACUCAGUGCUUCACCAGUUCAGUUGUUUGCCUCUGACCUAAUCAACGUUGAUCAGAGGAACACAGGAAACUGCCUCGUACUGAUUCAGAUCACUGGCCCAUCUCUGCAUCAAGUUGCAGUGGCUUUGCAAGCUUUCAGGCAAGAGUUUCUCCCUAGAGAUGCCAGGAAAUGAACCUGGGACUUUCUGCAUGCAAGGCAGAUGCCCCGCUGCUGAGCUAUAGCCCCUAUUUGGAAAUGUGGAGCUACCAUCUUACCCACUUCAGAAAGCAUGGUAUCUUAGCCUAAAGAUAUAGGGCAGCCCUCUCUGUUCCUGCCCUAUAAUUGCUAUGGCUGCUAUGGAGAAACAAGAGCAUUGCCAAGUUACUCAUGAGGUCAAUGCCUCAGGUUUGUGGCCAAUUAAUGAUGUGGUGGGCAGUUAUAUCUGGGCCCCAGAGUAUAUCAGCCAAGUAUGUUGUUUGUAAUAAGGCUCAGUCCUGUGAAGCAAGAAGUCAAUGACAUUCAGCGUGCACCAAGAAGCACUUUAGACCCCAACACUUUGUAUUGCAGAUGGGUGAAAAUACAUGUUUAAAUGGCAUCAGCUCACGGUUCCCAUCCUGCACAGAGAAGAGGUCCUGUCAAGGAGAAGGGCUGUAGCCUAACUCUCUCCCUGAAAUACUAAUCUUAUGUGUGCAGGGAGCUUUCAACAAAUUUUAGACCAUACAUUUACAACACUAUGAUACCACUUUAAACAGUUGUGGCUUCCUCAAAAGAAUUCCAGACACUCCAAGUGGUCCUAUUUUCCAGGGACAGUUCUGAAUAUACAGAAGCUGCCCCAGUUUCUGGUUUGAUCCAGGAACGCCCCACUUUUCCUUAGGACAGGGGUCAGCAAACUUUUUCAGCAGGGGGCCAGUCCACUGUCUCUCAGACUUUGUGGGGGGCCGAACUAUAUUUUUUUUUGGGGGGGGAACUAAUUCCUAUGCCCCACAAAUAACCCAGAGAUGCAUUUUAAAUAAAAGCACACAUUCUACUCGUGUAAAAACACCAGGCAGGCCCCACAAAUAACCCAGAGAAGCAUUUCAAAUAAAAGGACACAUUCUACUCAUGUAAAAACACCAGGCAGGCCCCAUAAAUAACCCAGAGAUGCAUUUUAAAUAAAAGGACACAUUCACUUCCAGCUGUUUAGGAUUUAAAAUUAUGGAUAGAUUAAGAUUAAGGAUUAGGAUUAAAAAAGUUUAAGGAAAUGGAAAUUUGGUUUUUAAAAGGUAAAAUUUUAAUGUUAUAUUAUAUUAAGAGUAAGAUUGGGAUUAAAAAAAGAGGAAAGAAAUUGCUGGACAAACAAUUUGAACUGGAAUACAAAAGAGGAGGUACGAGGAGGUCCAGAAAAUAAGUAAAUUUAAAAAUGGAGACGAAAAGGUGAUAUUGUUUUUAAUUGUUUUACUUUCUUUUUUGUCUUUUGUUUUCUUGUUUCUUUAUUUUUUCUUUCUUUUAGAUUAUGUAUUCUACAUUUUGAAUUGUGUAUUUCUUUUUUAUGUUUUAUGUUUAAUCUUUUAUUGAAACUUUAAUAAAUAUCAUUUUAAAAAAAAGAAAAAAGGACACAUUCUACUCAUGUAAAAACACGCUGAUUCCCGGACCGUCCACAGGCCAGAUUGAGAAGGUGAUUGGGCCGGAUCCAGCCCCCGGGCCUUAGUUUGCCUACCCAUGCCUUAGGACGUCCCUAUUUUCACUGAAGAAAUGUUGGAGAGUAUGGAGAUACUCCUGAGCCAAGUAGAUAAGGAAGUAUACAACCUUUAGAAGACUAAACCUGAAGGCAGCCCUGUAUAGGGAAGUUUUUAUAUUACAUUAUAUUUUAAUAUAUGUUAGAGGCCACCCAGAGUGGUUGGGGCAGCCCAAUCACAUGGGUGGGGUAUAAAUAAUAAAAUCAUCAUCAUCAUCAUUAUGGAAUAGGACGCCCCUAUUUUCAUCGGAACUGCAUUUUGUUAAGGGUGCCAAGAGUUCUUAAGAAACUCCCUAGCCCCCUCCCAGAGCAACAAUUUCCAGAGUUCCCUGUGAAAAGAGGUUGAUUGUUAAACCGCUCUGAGAAUUGUUGCUCUAAAAGGGAAAUAAGGACCUCCUAACAACUCUCAGCACCCUUAACAUACUAAACCUCCUAGAAUUCUUUGGGAGUAGCCAUGACUGUUUGAAGUGGUAUUAUAGUGCUUUAACUGGUAAGAAUGUGGGGGUUUACCUAAGACAGGGAUGCCAUACGUCCGAAAUUUUCUGGACAUUGCUGGGAUUUGGCUGUCGGAAACAGUGUGCAGGUGGGAACGGCAACUUCCAGAUGCAUGGCAACCCAUGUUGGAAGUGUAGAUUUUGGCGAAUUUCCUUAAAAAUAGCUCAAAAACUUUGCCAACCAUUUUUUUUUCUGUCCGGAUUUUCACUUUUUGACAUACGGCAACCGUACCUUCGCUUCAGCGGAGCAUCACGUUACAAAACCUUGGCAUUUCCAUAUGAUUACUAAAUGCAAACAGUCGCCAUAAUUGGAAGUGGGUGAGUGGAGGAAAUGUCCAGACACCGAUUCUGUGUGCCAGUGUUUCACUUGAUCAAGAUAUAUUUACUUUUAGGAAUGCAAAGUGCCCAGUAAUUGGUAUUGUACAUAUUGCCCCCCUCCCCCGCCCAGUCUUAAAAUUAAUGGAUCAAUAAAUUAACAAGUACUAUGUUGGCCCGGCUUGAAUAUCCUGGUGCCAAAGAGUCUUUGCACUUGGCAUCGCUCACAUCCUGUAAUUAAACCAAGCCCACUGGUGAACCUGAGCUGCUUGGGAAGGAGCCACUGCAUAAUAGAACAUGGGAGCAAAGUUGUCGCAUUUAAGAGAGAUCAGUAAUCCAUUAUGGGCCACAGCCAAGCUGGUGAUGCAUUGCUGAAAGCGCCCUUUCAAUAUUGCAUGAAGGGAGUCGGCCAAGCAAACCAUAUUAAAAGCUGGUUUCCUGCUCUUUUGGUAAGGCAGGCGCUCAGUCAGCACUCGCCUCCCCAGCCAGGAUCUUGCAUGCCACAAUCAAUAGGGCUGUUCCAAGUUCCAGACAACUCGCCACAGAACUAUGCUCCAGGUUCUCUCAAGCCUGGAGCUAUGGGGAUGCUGCAGUCCACAGAAGCAGCUUAUCUAGUUCAGUAUUGCCUGCACUGACUGGCAGCAUCUUUCCAGGGGCUCAAACUGGGGACAUUCCCAGCACUACUACAUGUGAAGCAAAUGUUCUGCCACUGAGAAAUGAACCAUCAGUUGGAACUCACAAACUCAUGGAAGGAAGCACACCCUUGCCUGGUCUCAGUUCCAAAACUUUGGACUGAGUCGGUCAACUUUGCAGGUUUUUGUUUGGUCUACCACAUUAAGUUAGCCUGGAUAGCUCAGUUGGUUAGAGCAUAGUGCUGAUAAUGCCAAGGUUGCAGGUUCAAUCCCCAUAUGGGACAGCUGCCCAGUCCUGCAUUGCAGGGGGUGGACUAGAUACCUCAAGGUAUCUCUUUCUUCCAACUCUCCAAUUCUAGAAUUCCAGUCACUAGCUAUGAGUUGGAUUCAUACUGUAUCUUUGGAGAUCACACAGGCAGGAUCAGACCUAAUGGUAACCAUAACUUGUAGUGAGUCAGACCAUCAUAAAGGAGUAAAUUUCAAAGAGUAGCUGUGUUUCAGUCCACAGAUUGUUUCAGAAAGUGCAAAUUAGGUAAAAUUGCCUUUAACCUCGUCUCAAUUAUUGUAAUGCACUCAGUGUGGGCCUACAGUUGGUCCUGGCCCAGAGAUGCCAAGGAUAGGAGCCAAUUCCCUGGGACUGAGGUCCCUUGCGCACCCCCCAAUAAAGUAUCUGAGGGGGCUGCCCCCCCACCCAGUUGAUGGGCAUUGCCAUUCAAAUUGUGUUUUUGUGCUGUGUCACAUGAUCGAGUAUACAGGGCAGGACUUAUUUGGGGGCCCGAAUAUUUUAUUCACGUUGGCAGCCCUUACACCAAGCAUUGCCACCCUACCUGUAUAACCAAGCAAUUCUAAAAUAUAGAUGCGCUUUUACUUUUUCAAGAUUGAAUGUAUUGCCCUGGGCUGUACUUGAGGGAUGGUUCCAACAGAUUCCACACAAAAAACGCUUAUGUCCCUGUGGAGGUGGCAGUAAUGAAUCGGUGGCACAUGCCCUUCUGGCUUGCAUGCUUUAUAAAGACUUGAGGUAUAAGAUUAUCACCCUUCUUUCAUUGUCCAUUCCAGGUCGCCCAGCCACUGCCACAGUGUCCUUUCUCUUGGGAGAUCAAGAUGAGAAGGUGACAGCAAAGGUUGCAAGGUAUUUUUAUAUAAAAUAAGAUAAAAUAAAAUGCAUUUUUAUUGGGUUUCUUUGUUAUAGCAAAUUGCAAAUACAAUUAUCCAAAUUUUAUAUUUUACAAUCCCCACCCUCCCAUUGACUUCCUUCAUCUUCCCUUUCUGGUUUAUUUCAUUACUUGUUAUCUUCUGCAAGUUAAAUAACUAUACAUGUUGUUACACUAUCUUUCAUCAUAUUCUGCUUAAAGUUGUGAAACCUGCCAAUGAGUCCAUCUCUUUUUGUUGUUUCUAUAGGUAAGUUGUGAAAGGUUCUCAAUCUUUUUUAAAAUCACUAUUGUCCUUUUCAUGUACAUUGUCUGUUAACUUUGCUAAUUCUGCAUAUUUCAUCAAUUUUUCUUGCCAUUGUUCUUUCGUUGGUACUUCUCCUGUCUUCCAGCCUUGUGCUAACAAAACGCUUGCCGCUGUUGUAGCAUACAUAAAUAUUUUUCUUUUUUCUUUUCGCCGUUCUUGACCUGAAAUACCCAGCAAAAAGGCUUCUGGCUUUUUUACAAAUGCCAUUUUAAACAUUUUUUUCAGUUCAUUAUAUAUCAUUUCCCAAAAAUUCUUUACAACUCUACAUUCCCACCACAUAUGGUAAAAAGUGCCUUCCUUCUCUUUGCAUUUCCAACAAUUUUUUGAUCCUGUUUUAUACAUUUUUGCCAUUUUUACCAGUGUAAUAUACCAUCUAUACAUCAUUUUCAUGUAGUUCUCUUUCAACAAUAUGCAAUCCGUGAAUUUCAGAUUCACUUUCCAUAAUUUUUCCCAAUCUUCAAAUUGUAUAUUAUGCCCCAAAUCUUGUGUCCAUUUAAUAAUUGCCAGCACAUAACUCUACAAAGCUUGAACUAGUUGCUCAUAUACUAGCUGGUUAGGUUCAAGGUUCCUGUAUUAAUUUACAAGGACCACCUGAUGCUUUUUAUAUCCCUGUUCAAUUUCCUAGGUUUUCAGCGGAGUCACUGUUAAUGGUCCCCAUAGCUUGGAUGCACAGCUUAGAUCCAAAAGAGUCUUGUGUUCAGUAUUAUGGUCCAAUUUUGUUUAAUUUGCCUCCAGUUGGAGUCAGACAGGUCCUCUCCUUGUUGAACUUCUCGCACUUCCUGAAGGCCUAUUUUUAUUAUUAUUUAUCCCAGCAGGUUUUUAAAAUCAACUCUAAUUUCACAGUUUUCACUCAUCUUUUGCCCUCUACAUCUGGUCUCCUGUGCACUGCUUAGAGAUGACUGUGAUUAUGCGGUAUGUAAAUUGCUGAAAUAAAACUAAAAAGUGAAAUAAAUGUGAACUGAGUUGAAUAUCUUCCCUCAUCCUUGCCUGCAAAUCAUGGUAACUCGUGGCUUUGUUGCUGCUGAAGCAAUUCAUUAUGGGUCAAUGCAGCAGUGCUCUUGAGCAACCCCCAUUCAUUUCAAUGGGGCUUGAGCAGGAAAACUUUCCAUUGCAUAGUUUUUAUCAGCAAGAGGAGCCACCUAUGCCUAACACAAUAGAUGUUGGAGUGGCAAUGGGGAGGGGGGCGAUAAUUGCUUUUUCUCUUUUUAGUCCAGACAAGAAUCCUUGUUAACUCUUCACUCACCCCACCUUUUGACAGUCCCUUAAUAAGAAGCCUGUUUGGGAGGACAGCAAAGAAGCCUUGGCUUAAAAUUGGCUACAGAAGCUGGCAGCUCUUCUUAGUAGGUGUCAAAAGCGUAUGUCCAAUUAUAACACUACAUCCAUCGCAGAUGGGAAGAGAAGCAGAUGGCUAUCAGGGGACUCAGAUGCCAUUUUGAGAGGAGGAAGGAGGAGGAAAGAAAACUGCAUUUGUUUGCCCUCUGUAGAAAUUAAAUAUUGGUCUGUUUGAUUAGAGACGGAUGCAGGGAUAUAACUGGCCAAUGAGACAGAAACAGUCUGGGGUAGCCUGGCUCACUUUCUACAACUGGGAACCUAUGGGAAUGGGGGGGGGGAGGACAUACGAAGCUGCCAUAUACAGAGUCAGACCAUUGGUCUAUGUUAGGGCUGCCAUACGUCUGGAUUUCCCUAGAUGUUACCAGACAUCCGGGGAAACUUUUCGAAAGGCAGAUCUUAGGCAAAUCAAUCGAGAAACCUCUCUCUCUCUCUCUUUGCGUUUUUGUGAAAGCUCAACAACUUUCGGGUUUGUGUGGGGGCCUCUUUCAGCCAUAUCUGGAGACGCCGCUGGAGAUUAGACUUUCUGCAUGCAAAGCAAAUGUUCUACCACUGAGCUACAGGGACACUGUUCAGUCUUUUCAAAGCUUUCCUCUGCAAUCAAGAGGGCUAGAAACUUGACGGGGGGGGGGGAGCAACCACCCUUAGUGGGCGUUACUGUAUAUUCCAACCUCUCCUCUGACUCAGCUGCUAAACUGCAUGUGUGCAAAGUAAAGUCACAGAAGCACAAAAAGUACAUUGACACACAUCCUGUCAGUAUGAUUAUUUAUUAGAUUUUUGUCAUAGGAUAUGGUUUUUUUAAAGCAUGGGAUCCUAACAGGAUCAUUUACUUAACUGCCACCAAUAGUAACAGUGUCAAACUGAAAUGUCAAUUCAUUCCACCUUGAGCUGAAACCCACUUGGUUCAAAAGUAGUCAUACUGCAAGAAACAUCUAAUAGGUAGUCUUGUCCAGAGCAUUUUAGCAAUUGCCUCAUUACAUGUGUGCCCUAAUAAGAAAUAUGUUUCCCAUCUUGCCUUCUGUACAUCUGAGAAAUUGGCAUAGCCGAUCAAGCAGAAGCCAUUGUGCUCAAUGUCAGAGUUAUCUGGGUCUUUAAUGAGUCUCUGGGGGGGUCUGCAAUGGAUUUUGCUGCCAAUUUAAUGUUCAGCUGCUCACUGCAAGGGAGGGGGGUGGAGAAAAAGAACGGGAAAUGGAUUUGGUGCUGCAAAUUGUAUCCACAACAUGCUAUCCAAAAACCUCUAUCUGGUCCAGCAUCUUCAGGCAUUGCUGGUGUGGGGUCUCCACGAUAGCAUCAGGUAUGCAAGUUUCAUGGACCAGUUGCCCUAAAAGGAAGUGUUUCAUGAACCAUCUUGCUGAAAGAAGAGAUGCCUUGUUCAGAUCUUGGCAAUCUGUUAUGCAGAAAAAUAGAAAACUUCUUUAUGCUUGGUUUGAUUAUUUGUCCAUUGAGCUCAGUAUUGUCUGUUCUGGCUAAAAGUGACUUUCUGGCAUCUAAGAUGGGGAUCUUUCCCAUCACCUGCUGUCUAAUUCUCUUAUCCACUGCAUGCAAUGCAUGUACCUAAAGGUUGAGCAACGGGUUAACUCAUUCAGCUGUGUUCCUAGCAAUAGUAUAAAAUCAUAGACUUGGAAGAAAUUCUGAGGACCAUCUAGUCCAAACCUCUGCAAUGCAGAAAUAUGUAUAGUUGGCUAAUUUCCCAAAGCAAACUUAAAGAACAACGCCCCCCCCCCAAAAAAACCCCACCCACCUAAAUGCUGGUGGCUGAAAUCUAGCAAAGCACUUUCAGGGGUGAGAAGGGGGAAAUUAAAUGAAAUUCUUUUGCUUCUUCUUAUCUUUAGGUUCAGGAGAAAAGAACAGGAGAAGAGAACCCGUCACUAGAGGGACAGUAAGCACGGGUAGGGAAGCACAAUCUUGUCUCUUUCAGUUUUGCCCAGUUUCUCAUUAUUCCAGUCUUAAAUUCCAUUCAUCCAUUUCUGAAUUACUUUGCCCUAAAUAUAUUUGGUAGCAAAGUGCUAAGUCAAAUACUCUACGAUGUUGAAAUCUGGAGCUCUGUCCUGAACUCCAUUAAAGUUUUGGAAACAAUGCAGAAUAACUUUUUUGGGAAGCUAUACUCUCUAUCAUCAAGAAUAUCAGCAGCUCUUCUUCAUACUUAAUCUGAGUAGCCAACAAUUAAGGCAAUAGCAGACUGCACUCAGUUAAAGUAUAUUAAAAGAAUUGCUACUAUGCCCAUUGAGUGUUUUCCUGCACUGUGCUAUAUGGAAUUGAGUGAUACCAGAGUUGGUUGUUUUAGACUAUUACUAAUUUCCAGAACUGAGCUCUGCUUGGGCCUUGAAUAAAUGUCAGCUAAGGGAUUGCCUCUUCUGGAUAGAACUCAGAAGGGACCUACAGCUAAAUACAAACACAGCUUUUCCCCCUUGGUAUGCACUCUCAAGAACAGGGCAUUUUACAGCUAGUUAUCUGACCAAACUUUCACCAGUUUCCUCGGGCUGCAUUUCCAAGUGAUGCUCACUGCAGUCUUGGAUGGCUGUACACAGACAAACUUUGUAUCUGUGGACAACCUCAGGUACAAAACGUUACUCAUUAUCUGUUAGGCUGCCCCUUGUGUAGAGACCCAAGAGUUCACUUUACACAUGCAAGCAGAUACACCCCAGCAUAAAUUGUUUGGUUUCUUUCGAGAGGCACUAAUAGCUUUGUAAUACAGAGAGUGGCCUUCUGUACACUGGCUGCAUAAAAUAAAAUCAGGAAAAAGGAGUUGGAUAAAAUCACUAUAAGUUGUUUUGGUGAUUCGGAGGUUUAAUCUGAAAUCAAGCUAUGUAUGUUCUGUAUUAUUUUAUUAAUAAUAUUGCUACAGUUUUGUAUGGUCUUUGGAUGGAACACUAAACGUAUGAACUGAACAGAAAAUGUGUAUUCAUUUCCACGUGUAUUCCUCCUAAUAGGCACAUUUUUGUGUGCAAUGUUGCCUAAGACAGACAUUCCUCACGAAGCAAUUUCCUCUAGUGCCAUUUUGCCCAUUGUUUCCACUAAACCUGUGUGUUUCAGUAUACACUAACCUUCCAAUGCUUUCUUCUUGGUAUGCUUAAAAAAAGAAAGAUAUGUAUCAGAAAAUUCAGAAGAGUGAAUUCCAAAGGAUAGCUGAAUUUUAUGUGACAUUUCAGUUCAAGACAUGAAAACGGGGCAAGUUAACUUGAAAACUGGAACCAAAUUAAUUUCUCCUCUUUCUGUAGUAUAUGGAAAGAUUGAAUCAUUGUUAACCUCAGGGAAGGGGCACAGCUGGAAUUGCCAACUCAAGUGCAUGCUUUGCAUUGCAAAAGGUCCUUCAAUUUAAAAGGAACUCAAGUGGCAGAACUGGAAGAGAGCGUUCUGUCUGAGGCUCUGAAAAGGUACAGCCAGCCAAGAGUAGAAAAGGCUGGGAUGAGUGCACCAGCGAUAUGACAUAGUAUGUAGAAGCUUCGUGUGUUCCUAUUUAGCUUGCCCUCCUUUGAUCAGAAUUCAUUUCCAUGUUGACAUUUAAAAUGUAUCGACUUUCUUCCAAAUCAGACGAGGAACAGAAUGUUGAAUAUGGUACAUCACGACAUUGCAAAGUUUCAAAAGAUCUAAUGUCAUUUAAAAUGGUAAUUAAAAUAUUGCGUCCCACCUUUUGAACCAAAAAGUCUCCCCACAAAGCAACUAACUGUGAGCUCAAAUACUGCUAAGCCAGAGAUGUGGAUCUUGUGGCCCUCCAGCUGUUACUGGACUUCAACUCCCAUUAUCCAUGACCAUUGGACCAUGCUGACUGGGGCUGAGGGGUGUUGGAAUCCAAGAACUGCUGGAGGGCCACAGGUUCUCUGCCCCUGCUGUGCAAGAAUAAAAUAAUGGACGAAACAUUUCCUUAGGCUCUAGAAUGAACAGACAUAACCUCUGCAGAGAAGUCCCACCCCCCAAUGACAGGAAAGAAUGCUAACUGGUGAAAGUCUCUCUUAUCUAGAGGGCUGUAGAUAAGAAGCAUCAAGGCAUUGCCAGUUCCAUGGGACAAGGGUUGUGAAUGGUUGCUUGGGGUUAUCAUAAAUAUAAGCAGCAUAAUCUCUUCUGGCUGUUACUAUUUUCAUUCAGGAAGAGCUUUCGGGUAUCAAAACGUUAACCUGCUGCGAAUUAAAAUGACCUUUUGCCGCUUCAAUCAAAGCCCACUGAAAUUGACAGAAUUGUUUCCAUGGCGUGUCCCAUGCAGGUACUGUUGUGGUGGGGGGGGGGGGCUUAUGUUUUCCACCUAUUCCAUUUUGGCCUGUGCCCCACUUUUUUAAAAAGAAAGAAAAAUGUAAAUGGAUUAGCAGAGCCUCCUUCUUUCACCACCAAGCAACCACAGUUUGCCCUACUAAGAAUUUAGGAGAAGGGUUUCAUUCCAAGGCUUAUAAUACUCAGGCUGGACUAAAUUUUUGAGCCACUGGAAGCUCUACCUUAAUCUCAAGUACGGGGGGUUUGGAUUCUGCAUUGAAACUGUCUCCUCUUUUUUUGCAUCUUGGUCAUGAGGAGCAAGUCAGCUGGUUGAUGCCAUUCACACAUACCCUUUAUGCUCUCAUUCUGUGAAGCAUCCUAUGAAACUCCUCGCAAUCAAUCCUACAAUUCUCAGAGUUGCUUAACUGGCAAUCCUUCUUUGCAAGGAACUCUGGAAGUUAAAGCUCUGUGAGAUGUAUAGGGGUCCUCUCAACAACCCUCAGCACCCUUAACAAACUACAGUCCCCAGUGUGAAGUCCUAAAAUCCAGGUAUAACUAGGAUUCUUUGAGUUGAAACCAUGACUCUUUAAAAGCGGGACCAUGGUGCUCUCUCCCGGGAUUCUCCUCAUCUAAACACAAAUGCAGCUUCUUCUCUUGUUACCCAGAAACAAGUCUCAUCUCCUUGUGGCUGAGCCAACUUUAGACUCCACCUCUCGCCUCAUGGCGCCUCUGUUUUCUGUCUCUGCCAUGACUCUCCUCGUGGCUCCUGCCCCCUCACCAAUCUGUCUUCACAUAGUUGCUCUGUGGUCCCUCAUGGCUUGUGCUAUAAAUGUGCUAUAAAUGUAUGGGGUGUACACAGCCUGGAACAGCUUCCUCAGCUUUAGACUUCAGAUCCCAUGUCAGUGUUGGGGAGUGGGGAGGAUGGGGAACUGUGCUGGCAACUCAGUAGGACUUUGGGAUCACCAUGGGCACCAUAUAUUGAUGGGUACAAGUCAGGGUCCUAUAUUCCUUGAAGAAGGGCAGACGCUUAAUAUUAAACCAUGCCAGCUGAAAGGAUUUCAGAAAGGUUAGAGAAGUGUCAGGAAGGAUGGUGUUGUAAAUAGGUGGGUGGGAGGGAGGGGAGUUGAAGAAAGAGCCUAUCCCCCUCCCCACAACUCUUUCUUGAGUUUCAGAGCAGAGGUGCGAAUAAAACUCAAGUCUCUGUGGCUCAUUGUAGCUCACAUGCUGAGCCUCUACAUAGCACCUUGUCUCUUUCUUCUAAAAGCUGACAGCAAUUAUUCCUGAGGGAAUAAUUGCCAGCAGGCACAGUUCACCUAAGUGGUCUUUUUAACCUCUGGGGGUCCUUACAAGUUUAUUGGUGAUGUUGGGUUCCGAGUGACAAAAUCAAUUGUUGUUUUAUUUUUAUUUUUUUCUGUCAGCUAUCGAGGUGAGGCAGGCACAGGAGCCCCAAGAAAACAAAGUGUUGGCAACUCAAGUGGAUAGGAGGGAAUAGACCUAGAUUUCCCUCCUGGGUCUUCAGCUGUUCCCCUGAGCUGCCUCCUCAGGCUGGGGUUGCUCCUUAAAAACAUUUGUAGUCCACCCUUCGUGUGCACUAGGGAGGGUUGCUCCAGAGAACUGGGAUGCUAGAUCUCCCAUGGCAAAUGCAGGGACAGGGAGGGCUACCACCCAACAAUAUCAUCAGGGACUUUCACUGGCAUCUGCCUGGCAGUUUCAUUCCUGAGUUCAGCCUGCCAACUUCCACUGGCUUCCACCUUUGAAUAGCCACUGGGCUGGUUCAUCCUUCUACCCUGUACCUGGAGCUGGCUCCUGUCACAUAAUUCCCAGGAAUGUCACAUCUGGUGGGCUACCUAUGCCAGUCCAAUGCAUCCAGACACAUACCAUUCGCCUCAACAGCAUUCAAAACCUCCCAUUCACACAUGGAGACACAUUCACUCAUCAGCCGCUCUCCAUUCACACACGUAUAUGCCCCCAGCUUCAGUCCACAAAUAUCCACACAGUUUCUGUCAACGGGCUUCCAAAGCUGAGUUUGAACCUGCUUACAUCCCAAACAACAGUCUGUUUCAGGAAUUGCAGUGUCCACCAUUAUCCAAAUGUGAAUGCUACUGGCUUCUAUUUCCCAACAUUUGCCAGCUUCCACCAGGUCCAUCGCCAGACAUCAGCCAGCCUCCAGCCAUGGAGACCUUCAAGGCACAAACCCACUCAUCAUGCCACAGCCUCCCACUGCCAGAUGAUCUCCUCCUUGGCCAGUGAAGUACUUAGCCUCGGGAGACUCCUGGAAGGCCACCCUCAGCCCUCAGACUAGAGGUUCCCCAUCUUGGUCAUAAAUAAAUGGUUUUUAAAAUUGGCAUUUCCACCAUUAGUCAUUCUCAGAGUAGACCCAUGGAGUCAAUAGACCAAGCGUGAGGAGGAGGAGGAGGUAGGUGGCAGGAAGUGCCACCUGCCUGGGCUGGCUGCAGAAAGGCAGGCAGGUGAGGGACUGGCCAAGGGGAGACUGGGGUUGAUGGGGGUGUUAAGGUCAGCAGAGGUGGGGGCCUCUUAGUAGUUCCAUCACCCUCAGAAGUGCAGUGGCCCAGGAGAGGCCCUCCUCCUCCUGAGUUGUGGAAUUCCCUCUCCGCAGAGGUGCAUCAGGUACCCUCGCUAUAUAACUUAUGACAAAUGUUGAAGACGUGUCUCUUUACCCUGAUAUUUGAAAUCUGAGGUGUGUGUUUUCUGGGCCGUCCCAAUUCCUGUGACUAAUUUGUUUUAAAUGUUUUUAAUACUGAAUUUUAGACUGCUGCAAUCCACCCUGUGAUCUGCUGGUGAAAGCAGGUACAGAACAACAAGACUUGCUGCUCUCCCACAUGACUGCCUUCGGACCUGCCUCCCACUGGCAUGUGACCCCCCCAGAAGAUAUUGUGGCCCUUGGGCUGAGGAAAGCUCCUCCCCUUCUUGUUUUCAGUGAGGUUUAUAGGUGGGAUGUGUUGUUCAUUAUAGGUCAUCCUGGUUCAAAUGGAGACACCCAGAUUUAUCUAUAUAAAAUGCAUUUCAAGACCUGCACAAGAGAAACUCCUUUUCAUACAAAAGCAAUUCCUUGUUCUUGACACAUCUUGGCUCCUCCAGCAUGUGGGGGAAGUCAAGCGUGCAUCAAACUGAAGUUGGGCAGUUCUAAGGGAGA